UGUCUGGGAAACUGCCUGAUGAGGGGGAUAACUACUGGAAACGGUAGCUAAUACCGCAUAAUGUCGCAAGACCAAAGUGGGGGACCUUCGGGCCUCAUGCCAUCAGAUGUGCCCAGAUGGGAUUAGCUAGUAGGUGGGGUAAUGGCUCACCUAGGCGACGAUCCCUAGCUGGUCUGAGAGGAUGACCAGCCACACUGGAACUGAGACACGGUCCAG
rnacentral:rRNA from 1 species